GCAUCGAUAGUUUAGUGGUAGAAUUGAAGCUUCCCAUCCUCGUGGAGCUUGCUUCAGGCACGGGUUCGAGUAAGCCGUACAUGCA